UGCUUUCACCUUUCCAGAUGAAAGAUUUGAACCUCGCUUUCGCCUAACGCUUAGUUAGCCGAUUGCCGUCAGUAUUGGAUAAUGUCGAUAUGCUGAUACUGGCGUAAUAUUGUUCGACUAUGGUGUGCGAGGGUAGCAUCUCCAAACACAUCGAGACCAAGCAUGCUAGGAAGGAUAGAUUUUGUCCGUUUCGCCCUACCCUUCCGAAACCCCUAAACGGUCUACGCCUGUAGAACAUCCAAGGAAUUCUCGUUGGACGCGGGUUCGAUACCCGCCAUCUCCACAA
rnacentral:tmRNA from 1 species